AGAUUACCUUUCUCGCCUGAAGCUGCUGACCUUGGAGGCAGAGGGAGAUGAAGAGAAUGGUACUGCUGCCUCACAACUUAGCACAGUCUCCCUUGAAAUGACACAGAAAACUUAGAAGAUGCUGGCUGGAGAGUCCAUUUCUUCUAUUUAUACCACAGCUCUGGUUCAUUUUUAUAAGAACAGGAUAAUUUGACCAAAGUAUUUCAUCAAACUGAAGUCUUUUGAUCACUUCAAGCGGAACUCCUGCUCGUGAAUGUGUCCUGUGAAGGUUGCAAGUUGGUUGCUUUUAUGGUGUUGAGAUUGAAGAGAGAACAUGGGUAAUAGAGAAAAGAAUUCACCACUCAUUGCAAUCCUGUGCAAUGCAGGAUUUAUAUGGGCCAAACCACAGGUCACCCACCCAAGUGACUAUCAUGCUUUUCUUCACUGAGGGAAUUCUUUUAAUUAAAUUUUUAUUUUUUAUAUUAAUUACAGUUUAUUCAAUUUGUAUCCCAGCUGUAGCCCACUCCCUCAUUCCCUCCCAAUCUCACUUUCCCUCCCUCAUCUCCUCCUAUGCCCCUCUCCAAGUCCAUGGAUAGGGGAGGUCCUCUUCCCCUUCCAUCUGACCAUAGCUUAUCCAUUCUCAUCAGAACUGGCUGCAUUGUCCUCCUCUGUGGCCUGGUAAGGCUGCUCCCCAUCAGGGGGAGGCAGUCAAAGAGUCAGUCACUGAGUUCAUGUCAGAGACAGUCUCUGUCUGUUCCCUUUACUAGUGAUACUAGCUCAGUAUCGCUUCGGUGCUGAGUUGCCAUGGGCUACAUCUGAGCAGCUGUUCUAGGUUAUAUCCAUGAAUAGUCCUUGGUUUAAGAGCAGAUAUGAGACAUUUUAAGAGAAACAUCUUACCUUUACCUCAGGACUUCCUUCAGAAGUCAAGUCAUCUUUCUUUCUCUCCCUCACAUUCACCUCACCAACCUCUCUCUCUCUCCUAACUUUCUCUUUAACCCUUGCACUCAGCCUUUUGCCCUCUGGAAAGAACUGAAACUAAAAAACUAUGAAAAGUUGGUUCUCUGAGAAGAAGGAAAGACGUGUGCUUGGAACAGUAUCUGCUGCACGCACCAACACUAACAAAAAAGGCCUUCUUGAGUCCUAAUCCAAACAAAACUGAAAUGAUACCCAUUUGGUGCACACUGGUUAACUCGAGGAUCCUGAGAACUAGCCCACGGGAACAUCAAAUUUCUUCUACAGUCACAGAAGUGGCUCAUAGAUGCACUAUUGUGGCUGAUCAUCUUGUGACAUGCUACUGGUUGAAUGUCUUUUGGAAUAUGUACACUGUGCUUCGACUAAACCUUUUACAAUUAAUAAAGAAUCAAGCCAGAGGCCUCAAACCGGACCCAUGACUCAUUGCAGUGAACAUUUGCAAGUGAAGGUGUUUGGACAGAAGGGUAUAUACUGUAUGACAUCCUGUCACACGCUGCAGCUUCCAGGGUGAGAUUGUUUACAUUAAUUAGUUGGUUUUAGUGUACUCCCUUUUAUUUUUGUUUUUCUGUUGUGUGUAGAGGUUGCAAGUGUGGAGGGCAGGUAUGGAGGGCAGGGGAGAUGAGUGGGAUUGGAGUGGGGCAGAUGUAAAAUUCACAAAAAAAUUAAAAAAUAUAAUU